CGAGUGAAGCGGCAACAGCUCAAAUUUGAAAUCUGGCCUCCUGCGGGGCCCGAGUUGUAAUUUGUAGAGGGCGCUUUGGCGUUGGCACCGACCUAAGUUCCUUGGAACAGGACGUCACAGAGGGUGAGAAUCCCGUACGUGGCCGGCCGCCUCCGCCGUGUAAAGCCCCUUCGACGAGUCGAGUUGUUUGGGAAUGCAGCUCUAAAUGGGAGGUAAAUUCCUUCUAAAGCUAAAUAUUGGCCAGAGACCGAUAGCGCACAAGUAGAGUGAUCGAAAGAUGAAAAGCACUUUGGAAAGAGAGUCAAAAAGCACGUGAAAUUGUUGAAAGGGAAGCGCUUGCAGCCAGACUUGCCUGUAGUUGCUCACCCGGGCUCUUGCCCGGUGCACUCUUCUGUGGGCAGGCCAGCAUCAGUUUGGGCGGCCGGAUAAAGGCCCCGGGAACGUAGCUCCCCCCGGGGAGUGUUAUAGCCCGGGGCGUCAUGCGGCCAGCUCGGACUGAGGUCCGCGCAUCUGCUAGGAUGCUGGCGUAAUGGCUGUAAGCGGCCCGUCUUGAAACACGGACCAAGGAGUCUAACAUCUAUGCGAGUGUUUGGGUGUCAAGCCCGGGCGCGCAAUGAAAGUGAACGGAGGUGGGAACCCCCCCGGGGUGCACCAUCGACCGAUCCUGAUGUCUUCGGAUGGAUUUGAGUAAGAGCAUAGCUGUUGGGACCCGAAAGAUGGUGAACUAUGCCUGAAUAGGGUGAAGCCAGAGGAAACUCUGGUGGAGGCUCGCAGCGGUUCUGACGUGCAAAUCGAUCGUCAAAUUUGGGCAUAGGGGCGAAAGACUAAUCGAACUAUCUAGUAGCUGGU
rnacentral:rRNA from 1 species